CUUUAUAGGAGUCUCAUUUCAUGGUCUGACAGACCAUAACACACUCCUCCCAUUGCCCACAAGCUCUGCCAUAAAAGCAGGUUAACAAAAGGAAUUAUAAGAGAACAGAAUAUUCUGAAGCAUUUUAUGCCCCACUGACAACAGGAUCUCGAGCAGAUAAGUGUUUUUGAACUUGAAUUUAGGUCAGCUUUUUGUGAGCACUGUUUAUAGAGGAAAAGUGUGUCAUCCAGUAUUUUAUAGGAAAGCUUAAAGUUUCUGCUUCACAGUUGUUUUACCUAAGGGAAUGUUUUGUGUGAACUGCUGGGAACUUAAUGUUCUUCAUUUAUAUUUACAGAAGCAAAUGGAAUCCCUGAAGGUGAACACAAAGAGCUGGCACGUGUGAGAUUCUCUGCACAGGCCUGUCCCACUGAGUAUUGCUGUUCCACUGUGUGUUUUGGAAACUGUGACUCUGUAAGCAAUUAGAGAGAGAGGCCAGUUAAAGGCAAGGGAGAGAGAUGCCAGUUUGACUUACCAGACCUAGAUCGUCGAGAAGCAGAAUGCAGUGUCGAAGAAAAAGAAGAAGAAGAAGAUGACAACAACAACAACAACGACAAACAUAAGUAUCUCCCACUGUCGUCCCCAAAAUUAGAUCAACAUUUAUGAACUGCUCAAAGUCUUUAACAUUUUUCACAAAAGAAUCUUCACCAGAUCGGCCUCUCCUUUCACUAAUAAUUGGGAGUACAGUAUCAGGUCUCUAAGGGCAGACUUCCAUGCAAACAGGAGCGACCAAGAACUCAAGUGAUUUAUCAAGAUCCAAUUGCCUCAGGUCUUGAACUUAGCCCUGUGAGUGACAAGAUGGCUGUUGCAUCCUGGCCUCUACCCACUGUCUACUGAAACCUGGUGGACUAAGAAGCUAGUAGUACUGUAGCUUCAGCCAAUGCACCAUCCAUAGGAACCCUGGCUGGAGGAGGGCCUGGUGCACUGAUUGGUCCAACCACACUAUUUAAGCCAAAAGGAUGCACAGGAAGCUGUCUGAGCAACUAGGUGACUUCCUGAAAUGACUGCUUGUUCUGGCUCCUGCCUCGGUCCUGUCUUUGCUGCUGUCUCCACCAUGUUCCUUCUCUGUACCUGAUCCUUGUCUCUUUUCUGGUGCUUGUCCUUAUGCCGUGCUUCUGUCAGUUACCAGUCCUAGCUCUGACCCUGGCUUGACCCUUGGCUCUGCCAUUUGGUCUCUGAUCCUGGCUCUGACCCUCAGCUUUGAUUCCUGGCUCUGGUACUUGGCAAUUGACUCUGGUGCUGACCCUUGGCUUUGUUGCCCAUCCUGGAUACCUGCUCUGACCAUUAGUCCCACAUUCCAGUCCAUAAUACAUACCCCUUUAGGGCAAAAAUGGCAGAAUUGCAACAAGUACCUCUUUUUUCCUGUGGGUUUCAAGGAACUGGUGGAAGGUAAUGCUGUAAUAUCAUUUACAUGUGGUUCCCACAUGCACUUACGUACUUUGCAUGAUACCUUUCCAUCUGAUGUUUCAUAGGUAGUUUGUGCCUUAAAGUCAAUGGAGUGCGACAGGUUGGGGACUAUAGCACUGGGCAGCAAUGGAGGGAGGUGUUGUGCCUGUAUAAGGUGAAAUACCUCCAGGAGACCCUGAAGGAAGAAUAGUCAGGAACGGUACUUGCUAUUCCUGUACAAAAACUGCUAUGUCUGUACACUGCUAUGUCCCGCACCACAAUGUCGCCAGCAGUACUUCUCCCAACAGUAGCACACUUCUGUUUACAAAGCAGAAGCAGCUGCAUUUUGGCUGUUUCCUGUGCAGAUGAGGAUGGGAAAUAGAGUCUCCCUUCAUCCUCUCCUUUCCUCCUCCUCUCCCCCCCUUUCACCCCAGAAUGCACUUGCCAUACAGAGCAGGGGUCAAUAACUUUGUCUAUGUUGCUGGUGUGGUUGAGAAGUUGCAACUAGGAUUUAGAUCCCUCACAUACAGCAUUACCCCAUAAGGCACACAUGAGUCUGAUGUCUUAGGCUCAUGUAAGUUAGAGAUGGAAAAGCCACAUCAGUUUAUAUAGUCCCGCCUGCUGCCAGUACAGGAUCUUUCACUAGGAUACAUAUAUUUAUGCUUUUUUGUCACGUUUCAGUUAAACAGACUCAUUUACAUGGUCUUAGAGAGAGCUGGAGAACAGUAAACAAAGAUUUCACUGAUUUCCCCUACUACAUGUGCUUUGACUUGAUUUUCAUUCCCCAUUCCUUUUGCAACUAACACUGGUCUACAAUUUUUGAGAAGUUGUCUGCUUCAGAGAUAAAAUGUGCUAUUUAUUAUGUAUUUUGA